rnacentral:rRNA from 1 species
GAUGAACGCUAGCGAUAGGCCUAACACAUGCAAGUCGAGGGGCAUCACAUGAAGUAGCAAUACGGAUGGUGGCGACCGGCGCACGGGUGAGUAACACGUAUGCAACCUGCCUUCAACAAGGGGAUAACCCGUUGAAAGACGGACUAAUACCCUAUAACACAGGGGUCCCGCAUGGGAAUAUUUGUUAAAGGACAACCGGUUGAAGAUGGGCAUGCGUUCCAUUAGCUAGUUGGCGGGUAACGGCCCACCAAGGCAACGAUGGAUAGGGGAACUGAGAGGUUUAUCCCCCACACUGGUACUGAGACACGGACCAGACUCCUACGGGAGGCAGCAGUGAGGAAUAUUGGUCAAUGGACGCAAGUCUGAACCAGCCACGUCGCGUGAAGGAAGACGGCCCUACGGGUUGUAAACUUCUUUUAACGGGAAUAAAGUGCCCCACGCGUGGGGUUUUGCAUGUACCGUAUGAAUAAGG